GUGGGGAAUAUUGGACAAUGGGCGCAAGCCUGAUCCAGCCAUGCCGCGUGAGUGAUGAAGGCCCUAGGGUUGUAAAGCUCUUUCACCGGUGAAGAUAAUGACGGUAACCGGAGAAGAAGCCCCGGCUAACUUCGUGCCAGCAGCCGCGGUAAUACGAAGGGGGCUAGCGUUGUUCGGAAUUACUGGGCGUAAAGCGCACGUAGGCGGACAUUUAAGUCAGGGGUGAAAUCCCAGAGCUCAACUCUGGAACUGCCUUUGAUACUGGGUGUCUUGAGUAUGGAAGAGGUAAGUGGAAUUCCGGGUGUAGAGGUGAAAUUCGUAGGUAUUCGGAGGAACACCAGUGGCGAAGGCGGAUUACUGGUCCAUUACUGACGCUGAGGUGCGAAAGCGUGGGGAGCAAACAGGAUUAGAAACCCCUGUAGUCC
rnacentral:rRNA from 1 species